AUUCGAAACUGAUAAGCCGACGAAAAUAACAAUUCGUGCUUUAUGCCUUCACACUCUUCGGCGGGAUCACCCUAUCAGCAGUGGGCCGUGCGCGGUUGACGUGAAGAAGCGAUCAUUUCGAUUUAGCCUUUUUCGGUUGCAAGUGUCCCUUCACCUCAGUGUGGAAUUUUCCAUCAGGGCCCACGAAAUCCAGUUUCGAUUUUUCGUUAGCCACCAAGGAUCGAGAUUGUGACGUGGCUUCCUCCGAUCGGUCGAGGUUCGUUUGCCUCGUGGCGCGUGUUUUAUAUAAAACCUAGACAGUACUAUAUUUGAUUACGUGUCCCAAAAGCAGACAAACUGGUUCUCCAGCGAUGUACACGGCCGAAUUCGCGUGCUACGAACAAACAUAUGAGUCUCGGCCCUAGCGGGAGGUUUUAUGUUUGGAAGAUCUUUUAGUUCUGCAAUUAAACGUUCAGCUACCGUCGCGAUCGGUUCACAGUUGUGAGUUCUCUUCAGUUAAAAAAGUUUAAAUUUCCAUACCAUUGGUUAAAGUUUUGAAAAGGAAAAAUGCAGUGCAUAGUGAGUGAUUGUUUUGUGGUACCUGCCACUGUAAGCUGUGAUCGAAACAAGUGUAAUGUUCUGAAAAACGGGGGCGUCAAUUUGAUCGUGAAUGGUGAACUGCCCGAAAGGGUUAACCGUAGCAUGCGGCCAUUAAUCAUAGAAAACGACGUUCGAAUGAUAACGCCUGUGGUGGAACCAUUAAUAAUCAGCAACUCAUUCUGACGAAAGCACAUUGUGUAAUUUAUGCAGUAAAACAGUGAAUUUGUGAGUGUGGGAGUUCACGAUUCAAAUGUAGUGAAUCCAUUAUUUGUCCAGCAGCAUGAAGAAGCGAAUACUUACAAAUUUUAAAACUCUACUCAAUCAAUAAAUCACAUUGCGCUGAUUGAAUUCAGUGAUCUUAAUCGCUUUAGCAACUAUGACGUACCGGCGUGCACGAGUUUGGAAACGAAUAUUGUCGGAGAGUUCGGCACUGUAGUCGGGUGGGAAUGAACGGAAGAUGACGAAACGUGUCCAAUAUUGAAAAAUGCGCUAAUGCCGAUGGUCGAUCCAGUAACCUGUUUGUGUGUUUGUGAUCGAAUUCUGCUCGGUUAAACUUUGGACGAAGGCGUAUUCUGCGCUGGAUAUAGAAACGGAAUAAGCGUCUGUAAUGGGGAUAGUGGAGGAGGUUUGGCUUUGGAAAGAGCCGAUACGUGGUUUUUAGGCGGCAUCGUAUCAUUUUCACACCAGCGUUUACGGAGGAUAAGUGAAAUCACAGGAAUGCGUUUUAAGCAGAAUGACAAGUGAAAGUUUGUGUAGCAGUUGAACCAGAUGAAACGAAAACGUAUCCCGAUCUACUGCCUCGACACUGCGGCGUUUAUAUUCCAAACUGAAUCUUUAGAAGAGUAACAACGAAAGUGUUUGGAUUCCCUUGGAUCGCGUUGCUGUUGGAUGACGACUUGGGAAACUGAAGCUGUUUUUCACCGUUCGAGAUUCUAGCAUCGAGUGGAUCAUGUUCUAGGAUGGCAUAAAUCUUAUCACUCUAAUACGCUGAAGUGAAGAUCAUAUGCAACCAAUUUGCGGAACUGGAAAACUACUGACCAUCUCGGUAUAUCAUCACAGGAUGGGAUUUGAUGGAUUUCGAAACCACGGAGACCUCGGAAACCAGGUUACAGUUCUACCGCUACCGGAGGUCAUAGGAAGUUUUCAGUUCGGUAGAAAUACACUAGUUUUAAUUUAUGCUCUGAGACUUCAGCUUUUAUACUGUUGCUUUAGCUAACUGAACCGUUUGCUGUCUUAAUAUUGUAUUCACGAAUGCGAAAAAGCAGGUUCAGAAUAAGAUUUAUCAAGAAUAGAAUUGAAAAUCAGCUAGGGAUCCCCAAAAACCGCCAGCACGAGUACUGGCAAGUCAGUCAAGUCAGAAGUAUAUCUUGCACUGACAUCCAACCAAUGUAAUUUCUAUAAACGUAAUUAUCCACCAGCAUAGCCAUCCAAGGAAACUCAAACACUUUCGUUGUUACUCUACUAAAGGUGCGACCACAGUGUCUAGGAAAUAGAUCGGGAUACGUUUUCGUUAUAUCUGGUUCAACUGCUUCACAGACUU